rfam:Bacillus sp. SJS contig_23, whole genome shotgun sequence.
AGGUGAUGUCUCCUUACCUUUAUCAAUGGAGGCACUCGGCUGUGCUGUGGGUGCGAACCUUAGACGCUUGUCGUCAGUAGCGCGGUGUGAGGGUGGGUUGAAUGCCCG